rnacentral:lncRNA from 1 species
AGAAACCUCCAGAAUCUUCUAGUAGGAAGAUCAAGAUGAAGUUUUCAGAUCUUUGAGUAGAAAACUUGGUCCUUAAGUUAAAAACACAAGGACCACAUUGCAAAAUAGGCUUAAGGGUUGCCCUACUUUCUUCAACUAUAAAAAGGGACCUAUUCUGGCCUUGAAAAGGGGCUAGAAGAACCAGAAUUAAACAUAUACACAAUUAGUCGAAUUAGUAAAAUCGCUACUAUUCCAUUGGUUUUGCCAAUUACUGGUACUUUCAAGCUGAGGAAUAAUCUAUGAUUCAUUGGAGGCUUAGAGUGCAUUGCGAUUAGCUGUUUGUUUUUUUGGGUUUGAACAUUACAAUUUUGGUUUUUCCUUGUUGAAUCCUCUGUGUUAAAUUGCUGGGCCUGGGUUCACCUUGGUUGUGUCAUUGUUGAUUCCUAGUGCAAUUGCUGACUACUCACACACCCAUUUUCAUCUUUGCAUUUUCCAGGUAUUUCUCUAGUCUAUGUGAACUGUACAGUUGAGAAAAACUUGAAGCAAUACAAGCUAUACAAAUUAGAGUCUCCCUUAUUUCAUCGCUGUUAUUUUAAAUCAUUUAAUAAUUAUGUAGCAAUGAUGGUUGUUUAAGUUAAAAUGUACAAGGUGUAAACUCAAUUCCUUUACUGCUUGAUGAUAGGAGGGAUGCAGUUUUAACCAUUGUGUUGGACUGGGACUUGUGUGUUAGUCCCAUUACAUCUCUAGGAUGGGUCCUGUUGUUAGGUUUAAUUUGUCGUAGUUUACAAGUUGAUAUUUGGCCUGUUGAGACUCGACAUUGGGUUGGGUUUAAAGGUGCACUGCAUCUCUUGAAAGUGCAUAUAUGGAAGCCAUGGUAUCAAUCGACUUGGCCCAUUCAUGUACAGCCUCGCUUCAGCUGAAGUCUAGGGCUUAAUGUAUGUGCUAUUCCAUUCAUUGUUAAUUUGCUUGUUUUAUUCCAAUCCCAAGUAUUCGUAAGUUUGUCAGCGAAGAGGAGACUUAGGUCCCUUGUGUUCUGUGUUACAUAAACACCUGACAUAGCAAAUGAAAUAUAGGUUUGAGGGCUUACACAUUAAAGUUGGUACUGAUUUGAAGUUAACAUAAGUUUGUGGUUCGAUACUAGGUCCAUGAUCCUUAUUUUGGCUCAGCAUCAUCUGGGCUCAUUAAACGCAAGGGGGCAAAAAUUUAUCCCUUACAAAGUGAUAGUAACUCACUGGGCUUGUUAGGUCCAGACUUCAUUAUUCACCAAUUGCAAUCUUUAGUCAGUAACAAAAUUCCCAUAGAUUAAACUGAGAAAUGCCACGUCGCAAAUUUUCGAGGCUUUCACAAAUUAAUCGAAUAUUCAUUUUAGGUGCGCUACUUAAAUAAAUCACUUUUCUAAAUAGGGGUGCACAUUUAUGUGACCCAAAUCCAAAUCUCAACGAAGUUGCAAUGUGUCAAGAUCCACGGGUACAUUUAUGUGACGUGGUUUGAGGCAUGUUC